rnacentral:lncRNA from 1 species
CAUAUGUUGGAGGAUAGAGUAAGCCCAGAUAGAUUGGCAUCUGACAUCCAAGUGUUUGCUUUGUUUUUGUUGGAGAUUGGUAUAAGUCCAUAGAGUGGCCUCUGAUAUCCGGUUUUGUUUUAGGAGAUUGGUAUAAGUCCAGUGAUUGGCAUCCGGUAUCCGCUUUUGUUGACUUUCUUCCUUUGCUUUGCUUGUUUAUCAUUGCUCAUUGCCUAUUCCAAAGGACACACUUGAGUCAUCUUCUAUAUGAUUUCAAGAGGUGAACCUUCUAGGAAGUUUUACACUCC